AUUGAACGCUGGCGGCAGGCCUAACACAUGCAAGUCGAACGAGUGGCGGACGGGUGAGUAAUGUCUGGGAAACUGCCUGAUGGAGGGGGAUAACUACUGGAAACGGUAGCUAAUACCGCAUACCAUCGGAUGUGCCCAGAGGGGAUUAGCUAGUAGGUGGGGUAACGGCCCACCUAGGCGACGAUCCCUAGCUGGUCUGAGAGGAUGACGAGCCACACUGGAACUGGGACACGGGCCAGAAUCCUACGGGAGGCAGAAGUGGGGAAUAUUGCACAGUGGGCGCAAGCCUGAUGCAGCCAGGCCGCGUGUAUGAAGAAGGCCUUCGGGUUGGAAAGUACUUUCAGCGGGGAGGCGUUAUCCGCAGAAGAAGCACCGGCUAACUCCGUGCCAGCAGCCGCGGUAAUAC
rnacentral:rRNA from 1 species